rnacentral:rRNA from 1 species
GACGAACGCUGGCGGCGUGCUUAACACAUGCAAGUCGAACGAAGAGCGAUGGAAGCUUGCUUCUAUCAAUCUUAGUGGCGAACGGGUGAGUAACGCGUAAUCAACCUGCCCUUCAGAGGGGGACAACAGUUGGAAACGACUGCUAAUACCGCAUACGAUCUAACCUCAGCAUCGAGGAUAGAUGAAAGGUGGCCUCUACAUGUAAGCUAUCACUGAAGGCGGGGAUUGCGUCUGAUUAGCUAGUUGGAGGGGUAACGGCCCACCAAUGCGAUGAUCAGUAGCCGGUCUGAGAGGAUGAACGGCCACAUUGGGACUGAGACACGGCCCAGACUCCUACGGGAGGCAGCAGUGGGGAAUCUUCCACAAUGGACGAAAGUCUGACGGAGCAACGCCGCGUGAGUGAUGACGGCCUUCGGGUUGUAAAGCUCUGUUAAUCGGGACGAAAGGCCUUCUUGCGAAUAGUUAGAAGGAUUGACGGUACCGGAAUAGAAAGCCACGGCUAACUACGUG